rnacentral:tRNA from 1 species
GAUUAAAUGGCUGAAAUUUAGGCAAUAGACUGUAAAUCUAUUUAUGAGGGUUAUUCUCUUUAAUCA